rnacentral:rRNA from 1 species
UACAGAGGGGGCGAGCGUUAUUCGGAAUUAUUGGGCGUAAAGGGCGCGUAGGCGGACAUGCGUGUCUUCCGUGAAAUCCCUCGGCUUAACUGAGGACGUGCGGAAGAAACUGCAAGGCUCGAGUCCGGGAGAGGGGGGUGGAAUUCCCAGUGUAGCGGUGAAAUGCGUAGAUAUUGGGAGGAACACCGGUGGCGAAGGCGGCCCCCUGGACCGGUACUGACGCUGAGGCGCGAAAGCGUGGGGAGCAAACAGG